AUUUGUGUUCCCUCUUUAUCGGAUGAUUGACAUGAGAGGUUGUGAAGUGCCGCUUGUUCCCACAAAACGCUUCCGCGCACAGUUUAGCGGAUAAUUAAAUUCUAAAUCGAGUUAAACCGCUCAAAGAAAAUCUUGAUGCGUCUAGUUUGUAAGUCGACACCUCGAGUAAAGCCCUAGAACACAGAAAAGCGCAGCGUGCGGCCAGCUGCGUCAAACAAGUGUGCGCUUAUCGAGCCCCGAGCACGACGCCAGUCUGGUGCAGGACAAGGCCGCGAGACGCGUCUGCAGUCUCACGAGCUGUUUUGACAGGAAAAUAGAAGACGUGAGAGAGUUGUCAAAGCUGUGGUUGAUCUGGCAGACCUCUCUCCACACAUCAGAGGCAGGUGCUAUUUUAGUGCAUUGCUUCAAACUCUUUACAGACUUAUUGUGUCAGAGGCACUGACUACUUUUCAGGUCAUGACUGGCCAUUGAAUAACUCUUUUUGCUUUUGAAUAAACCUUUUGCUUUAAUGUCCAGUAAGUGCACAUAGAGCUUACUGUCAAGGGAUAUUUUCACAAACUCUGUCUUCUAGUGUUCAGACAAUGGAACUUUAGUACAAAUAGCAUGCUACUUCUGUUUACACUUUGUGUGAAUAUCUUCUAUCACUGUACUUACUGUAAACAUGAUUCUGUUUGGUGCUUUUUUUAGUGCAAACAAGACCUACCACUAUUUUCACUGUAAAUAGCAUCUCCUUUUUUAAAACUUAGUGUAAGCAGAUGCUUUAUUGUUUUUCACUUUAUUCUUUAAUAGUUUCAAGUAAAAUGUGGAAAUUAUCUUGCAUUCUAAGAAAAGUCUGUAAAAGUAGGGCCCAAUGUGUGUUGAUAUGAAGGAAUUUUCUGUAUUGAUUUUCGAUAGGUAUUUUACCCAAAUUUUGAAUUAUGCAUUGCAUCAUGAUGUGUUUCAGGGUUAUAACACACAGCACAAUGCAGAAUUGUGCAAAUUUCCUAACAGACAUUUACCAGUACUUUUUCUGUUUUUCUACAUAUUGUUUUUUCUUUUAUGUGGUGUCCUUAUUGUGAAAUGUAAAAUAUGGCAGCAUAAGAAAAUUAACUAUGUGGAUAUAAGUAUUAUCAAUAUUCAAUAACAUAUAUUGCCAUUAUCUAUUUGGGGUCUGAUUUAAAAAAUGGCUGGUCAUAAAUGUAAUUUUUACCAUUAUAUCUCAUAUUAUGCAUUAAAUGUAAAAAGUGGUCACAAAUUAUUGAGUCUUGUCGAAAGCCUCACAAAAUACAUUUUUACAUGGGCAAUCUCUUGGGUAUCCUUGAUGCUGCAAAUCAGGACC
ensembl:lncRNA